rnacentral:rRNA from 1 species
UCACGAAAGCCGGGAGCACUUGAAGAGGCUGUACUAGAAGUCCCCAUCCUAACCGCAAGGGAGGUAGGGCCCAAGGUAUGGCUCAUGAUUGGGGUG